ACGCCCCUCCCCACACCUCCCGCCGGAUCCUCUCCCCUGCCUGCCUCCUUCUCCGGGGAUCGCCACUGGGGCCGCCCAGAUCACGUACAAUAACCUCCCCAUUUUAAAGCCAGCCGUUGGGCAGCCUCGUUCCUCCCUGACGUGCAGUAUGACCUGAUCACAGAUUAUGGGGCGCAUCUGGCGGUGGAGGCGUCUCUUCCGCCUACGGCAGGUGGCUGACAAGACGAAUUUGGGGAAGCUGAUGCUACAGUGCAGAUGGGCUAAACAACCACCUGCUCUCAUGGGCUGAAAUAAGAAAAUUACACCAGGACGUCAGAGAUACCUUAAUAAUUCUGACGACUUCUCCUUGAGGCCCUCCCAUUUGAAUGUGGGAUCUGGUCCCAAGAAGGAUUGGAGCCCCGUUAGACGCUGGUUGGGGAAACACCCACUUGCCCUGUGAAACCUGAGCAGGGAGGCUGGGCUCCCCUCAGCCCCACCAGGGAGCUCUCCACAACUAGCCUCUCUGGAAGGAACCGUUUCUCAGGCGCCAGUAGAUGAGGAAAUUCCCUGAUCUCAUACUUCCCGUGGGUCUCACUGCCACGUCUGUCACCCUGCGGACAUGCAACAGCGGGAGGCGGGCUGGGCCGAGGCCGUGUCGGGCCAUGGCCUCCAGAGCUGUCACCGUCCUCUGUCCUGCCCAGUUCUCUCCGGACUAUCCACUUGACUUCAUUUAAAGGGAUGUCGCCUUGGGGCAGCCCGACUGUGCAGCUGGUGUUUUCCUGUGCACCACCCCAGCGCUGAGCACCAGGUGGUACCAGGACCAGGUGUGCCACCGAGCUACUGGCUUGGCCUCCUAAUGGAUGUGACCCCCUGUGCCUCCACAUCUCCUCUCUACCAGCUCCCUCUAAAGACUGUAGCCUUUGAAAUAUAAAUAUG